rnacentral:siRNA from 1 species
UCAAAUGACUACAUACUUAGG